UACCUGAGCUCAAAUGCAUAUGGAAGGGGCCCACCAAGCAUGUCAGCUUCCAAAGUCUUGCUCAUCUAUAUUUGAUUUCUCUCGACAAACUGACAUUUAUUUGUUAGCUAUUUGGAGACAAGCAAUGUCCCACCUCCACUAUGUGCUUAGUGGGAAUACCUAAUCUCCACUUAGCACAAGUGGAGGCAAACGGUGGGCAUAAAUCAUGGCAUGAUUUAUGCCCUUCACUCCUAGCUUAAUAUAUAUGUAUGCUCAGUGAAGAGCUGGAGGGUUGGUGUGUGAAGAACACAGAGAAGAGUGAAAACACAGAGAGAAAAACGUGAGAGAGAGAGCUUGAGUUGAGUAGAGGAGAUUUUCUCCUCCUCCUUGUUUUGUUGUUUGUAUUGUUUCUAAGCUUGAUUAAUACAAACCAGUAGCUCCGUGGAGUAGGCAAGUUGCCGAACCACGUAAAUUGAUGUGUGUUUGAGUUCUGGAAUUACCCAACAACUGGUAUCAGAGCUUGUUCUUGACAAAGAGGGUGUUUGAUCCA
rnacentral:lncRNA from 1 species